GGCACAGUCGCGGGAACAGCGCGGAGCAGAGAAGCACCAAAAGAGGCAAACUGAGAUGCAGACAAAUGAUCAUCUGUAUGCUGAUCAUUUUGAAUAGUAAGUACCUGGGUGCUGAUACCGCGAUCAAUGUGACAGGUCCCUGCCCUCAAGGAGCUACGGUCCCUAGGCAAUCUCUCUCGUUUUUGUUUUUUUUAGCUGGGAUUACAGGUGUGCGUCACGAUGCCCAGCUAAUUUUUGUAUUUUUAGUAGAGACGGGGUUUCACCAUGUUGGCCAGGCUGGUCUCAAACUCCUGACCUCAGGUAAUCUGCCUGCCUCGGCCUUCCAAAGUGCUGGGAUUAAAGGCGUGAGCCACUGCGCCCGGCCCUACCCUUGCCACUCUCUUAAACUCCUAGCCCCAUCUUUUCUCUUUUGCCAUCAGGUAAAACCCCAAUUAACCAAAGUAACAGAGUAGGAUUGCCACAGUUAGCUGAGGGUCUGUAGGAGAUUGCAUUUCAUAAAUGACCAUUUUACUCAGAUUUGAUCUCCCACCAUGCCCUUGUGCUGUCACUUCAUAGAGAAACUUGAAGCUGUCACAUGGGAAUCCCCUCAUUCUUCAGCUCCCAAAACUGCAAGCCUUACUUAUAUCUGUUCCUACCUUCCUUCCUCCUCCUAACCAA
rnacentral:sRNA from 1 species